rnacentral:rRNA from 1 species
CCUACGGGAGGCAGCAGUGGGGAAUCUUGCGCAAUGGGCGAAAGCCUGACGCAGCAACGCCGCGUGCGGGAAGAAGGCUUUCGGGCUGUAAACCGCUUUCAGCAGGAACGAAAAUGACGGUACCUGCAGAAGAAGGAGCGGCCAACUAUGUGCCAGCAGCCGCGGUGAUACAUAGGCUUCAAGCGUUGUCCGGAUUUAUUGGGCGUAAAGAGUUCGUAGGCGGUCGAGUAAGUCGGGUGUGAAAAUUCUGGGCUCAACCCAGAGACGCCACCCGAUACUGCUUGACUUGAGUUCGAUAGGGGAGUGGGGAAUUCCUAGUGUAGCGGUGAAAUGCGCAGAUAUUAGGAGGAACACCGGUGGCGAAGGCGCCACUCUGGAUCGAUACUGACGCUGAGGAACGAAAGCAUGGGUAGCAAACAGGAUUAGAUACCCUGGUAGUCCAUGCCGUAAACGGUGGGCACUAGGUGUGGGUUUCUAUUAACGAAAUCCGCGCCGUCGCUAACGCAUUAAGUGCCCCGCCUGGGGAGUACGGUCGCAAGACUAAAACUCAAANAGAAUAGUAGNGNGAGAGNGCGAGACGACACGAGGGAGGAGG